GGAGGAUCCAAGCGUUAUCCGGAAUCAUUGGGCGUAAAGGGUCCGUAGGCGGCCAACUAAGUCAGACGUGAAAUCCCCCGGCUUAACCGGGGAACUGCGUCUGAUACUGGUUGGCUUGAGUGCAGGAGAGGAACGCGGAAUUCCAGGUGUAGCGGUGAAAUGCGUAGAUAUCUGGAGGAACACCGGUGGCGAAGGCGGCGUUCUGGACUGUAACUGACGCUGAGGGACGAAAGCCAGGGGAGCAAACGGG
rnacentral:rRNA from 1 species